rnacentral:rRNA from 2 species
UUAACGGAGCGAAAGCGACGUUCAACCGCAAAAGAAGCAGAGGGGGCUUAGUGGUGGGGUGACUGCGUACCUUUUGUAUAAUGGGUCAGCGACUUAUAUUCUGUAGCAAGGUUAACCGAAUAGGGGAGCCGGAGGGAAACCGAGUCUUAACCGGGCGUUAAGUUGCAGGGUAUAGACCCGAAACCCGGUGAUCUAGCCAUGGGCAGGUUGAAGGUUGGGUAACACUAACUGGAGGACCGAACCGACUAAUGUUGAAAAAUUAGCGGAUGACCUGUGGCUGGGGGUGAAAGGCCAAUCAAACCGGGAGAUAGCUGGUUCUCCCCGAAAGCUAUUUAGGUAGCGCCUCGUGAAUUCAUCUCCGGGGGUAGAGCACUGUUUCGGCUAGGGGGCCAUCCCGGCUUACCAACCCGAUGCAAACUGCGAAUACCGGAGAAUGUUAUCACGGGAGACACACGGCGGGUGCUAACGUCCGUCGUGAAGAGGGAAACAACCCAGACCGCCAGCUAAGGUCCCAAAGUCAUGGUUAAGUGGGAAACGAUGUGGGAAGGCCCAGACAGCCAGGAUGUUGGCUUAGAAGCAGCCAUCAUUUAAAGAAAGCGUAAUAGCUCACUGGUCGAGUCGGCCUGCGCGGAAGAUGUAACGGGGCUAAACCAU